rnacentral:rRNA from 1 species
CAAAACGACUCUCGGCAACGGAUAUCUCGGCUCACGCAUCGAUGAAGAACGUAGCAAAAUGCGAUACUUGGUGUGAAUUGCAGAAUCCCGUGAACCAUCGAGUUUUUGAACGCAAGUUGCGCCCGAUGCCAUCUGGUUGAGGGCACGUCUGCCUGGGCGUCACGCAUCA